GACGAACGCUGGCGGCGUGCCUAACACAUGCAAGUCGAGCGAAUGAAGUUCUUUCGGGAAUGGAUUUAGCGGCGGACGGGUGAGUAACACGUGGGCAACCUGCCUCAUAGAGGGGAAUAGCCUUCCGAAAGGGAGAUUAAUACCGCAUAAGAUUGUAGUACCGCAUGGUACAGCAAUUAAAGGAGCAAUCCGCGAUGAGAUGGGCCCGCGGCGCCUUAGCUAGUUGGUGAGGUGACGGCGCACCCAGGCGACGAUGCGUAGCCGACCUGAGAGGGUGAUCGGCCACAUUGGGACUGAGACACGGCCCAGACUCCUACGGGAGGCAGCAGUGGGGAAUAUUGCACAAUGGGGGAAACCCUGAUGCAGCAACGCCGCGUGAGUGAUGACGGCCUUCGGGUUGUAAAGCUCUGUCUUCAGGGACGAUAAUGACGGUACCUGAGGAGGAAGCCACGGCUAACUACGUGCCAGCCGCCGCGGUAAUAC
rnacentral:rRNA from 1 species